GGAAAGGGGGUGCGGCCUUGGUCGUGGUGUUCAGGUGGGUGUGUUCCGCUUCUUCUGUUCGGCGGGUGGAUGUUGCCAGGCGGGGGGGGGUCAGCGGCCGUGUUUUCGUUGGGGAUUCUGCCUUCGUUCCUUGCUUUGUUUGUUUCGAUGGUUUCCACUGGCUUGGCUUGUGUUUUGUUGUGCACCGGUUUGAUUAUUUUUGCCGCAGUCCGGUUUGUUCUUAUGUCUUUCUCGUGCGCCUCUGCGGCUGGCGCUGUGUUGGUGUUGCCUUUUUCGAUGUCCCUCCUGUGCUCUUGUGGUCUUUCUGCUGGGUUUCUGUUGGU
rnacentral:lncRNA from 1 species